AGCAUUACGCAGGGGAGUCUCGCUUUGGAGACUGAGAGGCUGACAGGGCAAAUGCCCGGUGAUGCGACCCUUUGAACCUGACCCAGUUGACACUGGCGUAGGAAGCUAGGGAUGCAUUGCC
rnacentral:ncRNA from 2 species